rnacentral:rRNA from 1 species
GGUUAAGCGACUAAGCGUACACGGUGGAUGCCCUGGCAGUCAGAGGCGAUGAAGGACGUGCUAAUCUGCGAUAAGCGUCGGUAAGGUGAUAUGAACCGUUAUAACCGGCGAUUUCCGAAUGGGGAAACCCAGUGUGAUUCGUCACACUAUCAUUAACUGAAUCCAUAGGUUA